rfam:Lactobacillus rhamnosus MTCC 5462 contig2022, whole genome shotgun sequence.
CCAAGAAAUAGAGGUUGCGGUGGGCAACGAAAACUGGGGAGUGCCGAGUCAUGUCGAACCAGUCGUAAGUGCCACCGCCGAAAUGUUGAAUCGUAUUCGGACGAUUUGCAUUGGGCCAUGGGCGCAUAACCCAUGGACUGUCGAAGCUGGUUGCUUCGGGGCGCUAUGAUUCUG